AGGUCUUGACAUCCUCCUGACCGGUCUAGAGAUAGGCUUUCCCUUCGGGGCAGGAGUGACAGGUGGUGCAUGGUUGUCGUCAGCUCGUGUCGUGAGAUGUUGGGUUAAGUCCCGCAACGAGCGCAACCCCUAUUGUUAGUUGCCAUCAUUAAGUUGGGCACUCUAGCGAGACUGCCGGUAAUAAACCGGAGGAAGGUGGGGAUGACGUCAAAUCAUCAUGCCCCUUAUGACCUGGGCUACACACGUGCUACAAUGGUUGGUACAACGAGUCGCAAGCCGGUGACGGCAAGCUAAUCUCUUAAAGCCAAUCUCAGUUCGGAUUGUAGGCUGCAACUCGCCUACAUGAAGUCGGAAUCGCUAGUAAUCGCGGAUCAGCACGCCGCGGUGAAUACGCUCACGGGCC
rnacentral:rRNA from 1 species